GGUAGCGUGGCCGAGCGGUCUAAGGUGCUGGGUUUAGGCUCCAGUCUCUUUGGAGGCGUGGGUUCAAAUCCCACCGCUGCCA
rnacentral:tRNA from 1 species